rnacentral:rRNA from 1 species
UACGUAGGGGGCAAGCGUUGUCCGGAUUUAUUGGGCGUAAAGAGCGUGUAGGCGGCCUGACAGGUCUGCUGUGAAAACUCGAGGCUCAACCUCGAGAUGUCGGCGGAAACCGUCUGGCUAGAGUCCGGAAGAGGAGAGUGGAAUUCCUGGUGUAGCGGUGAAAUGCGCAGAUAUCAGGAAGAACAGCCUAUGGCGAAGGCAGCUCUCUGGGACGGUACUGACGCUGAGACGCGAAAGCGUGGGGAGCGAACAGGAUUAGAUACC